CCUACGGGUGGCUGCAGUGGGGGAUAUUGCACAAUGGGGGGAACCCUGAUGCAGCGACGCCGCGUGGGGGAAGGAGUGCUUCGGCAUGUAAAGCCCUAUCGGCAGGGACGAAGCAAGACGGUACCUGACUAAGAAGCCCCGGCGAACUACGUGCCCGCAGCCGCGGUAAUACGGAGGGGGCGAGCGUGAUCCGGAUUCACUGGGUGUAAAGGGAGCGUAGACGGCCAUGCAAGCCAGGGGUGAAAGCCCGGGGCCCCACCCCGGGACUGCCCUUGAAACUGCAUGGCUGGAGUGCGGGAGGGGCAGGCGGAAUUACUGGUGUAGCGGUGAAAUGCGUAGAUAUCAGGAGGAACACCGGCGGCGAAGGCGGCCUGCUGGACUGCGACUGACGUUGAGGCUCGAAAGCGUGGGGAGCGAACAGGAUUAGAUACCCUUGUAGUC
rnacentral:rRNA from 1 species